UACGAAGGGUGCUAGCGUUGUUCGGAAUUACUGGGCGUAAAGCGCGCGUAGGCGGCUUUUCAAGUCAGGGGUGAAAUCCCACGGCUCAACCGUGGAAUUGCCUUUGAAACUGUGAAGCUAGAGUGUCGGAGGGGAUAGCGGAAUUGCUAAUGUAGAGGUGAAAUUCGUAGAUAUUAGCAGGAACACCGGUGGCGAAGGCGGCUAUCUGGACGACAACUGACGCUGGGGCGCGAAAGCGUGGGGAUCAAACAGG
rnacentral:rRNA from 1 species